UCGCCGUUUCCCUCUUCCCCGAGACCACCUUCUCCCUUGCGCCCGCAAACCUUCUGCCCUAACCGCCCACGGCGGCUUUCCUCCUCUCCCUCGCGUGCAUAAGGCCGGGAUCAAGAGAAGCCAGUGUUCUCUUCUCCCUCUCCGCAGCCGACACCUUCUUCUUACUAUUUUCCCAAGCGUCGGCGAUGAUCUGCCACUGCCGAUCCACUGUCGCCUUCCAUCUUCCUCGUGUCUUCCUCGCCGAUCGCGACCAUGCCCUAAUUGGCCGAGCCGUUUCUCCUCAGCCCUAGUUCUUCAGCCGAUUCUUCCUCCCCUCUGGGCUCACGACACCGCCGGCCUUCCUUUUUGCCCUAGCCGACGCUGUGCCCUAGUUUGUGUUCACCGCUGAGACUCCUCUCUGCCCUAGCCGAGUCCUAGGUACCGAGUUCUUCCUUCCCUCUAUGCUGCCGAGCCGACUCUCACAGCCUACUUUCGUGCCCUAGUUGGGUGUACUAUCGCCGCUGCUCCUCUGCACAGUGUCGCCGUCGUUCGCCCUAUUGCCGGCCAGCCGAACCCUAGAUCGUUGCUUGCUCACCUGGGCCCUAGUUUCCUACUGCUGAAGCCUCUAAACCGUGCCCUAGCACAAGGUUUUCAGCUGUGUCAAUUGGAAAUUCUUCAACCUUGGAUUUAAAAGUGAUACAUCCAGAUUUAGGACUUUGACGUGAGACGAGUAUCUCGGAGUCAGAUUUGGACCAUUUUAUCGGAGGCGGG